rnacentral:misc_RNA from 1 species
AAAUAAUGCCCAACAAGAAGGGGGCAAAAAGUACUAAUCCAAAAAUUAUGCUAUAUAUGGCUGAUGGCUCAAAGAAAUAUCUCAAUACUACCCACACAAAAGAAAAAAAAAUACCUUCAGAACUGCAACCAUUAUGUUGCACAAUUGAGAAUCUCCAAGAAACAAAAACAAAGGUGUAAUUUUACUAGCCUAAAUAUAAAUAGUUUGAACAUAUUUGGUAUUAUGUACUUUAUGAGAGGAAAGACAGCCAAAAUAUGAUCAACAUUCAAAAGAAGCAAAAUCAGGAACCUCUUCAAAACGCUCUGCCUCA